GACGAACCGUGCGAACGUUGUUCGGAUUUACUGGGCGUAAAGGGCGCGUAGGCGGCGCAACAAGUCACUUGUGAAAUCUCCGGGCUUAACUCGGAAAGGUCAAGUGAUACUGUUGUGCUAGAGUGCGGAAGGGGCAACUGGAAUUCUCGGUGUAGCGGUGAAAUGCGUAGAUAUCGAGAGGAACACCUGCGGCGAAGGCGGGUUGCUGGGCCGACACUGACGCUGAUGCGCGAAAGCCAGGGGAGCGAACGGG
rnacentral:rRNA from 1 species